rnacentral:sRNA from 1 species
AUGUACCACUCGUACACUGCGGUUCCUGCGCGCCGUCCGCGCCCCCCUGGCGGCUGCGCAGUAGUUUUGCUAGCC